AUUGAACGCUGGCGGCAGGCCUAACACAUGCAAGUCGAACGAGUGGCGGACGGGUGAGUAAUGUCUGGGAAACUGCCAGAUGGAGGGGGAUAACUACUGGAAACGGUAGCUAAUACCGCAUACCAUCAGAUGUGCCCACAUGGGAUUAGCUAGUAGGUGGGGUAACGGCUCACCUAGGCGCCGCUCCCCAGCUGGGCUGUGAGGAUGACCAGCCACACUGGAACUGAGACACGGUCCAGACUCCUACGGGAGGCAGCAGGGGGGAAUAUUGCACAAUGGGCGCAAGCCUGAUGCAGCCAUGCCGCGUGUAUGAAGAAGGCCUUCGGGUUGUAAAGUACUUUCAGCGGGGAGGCGUUACCCGCAGAAGAAGCACCGGCUAACUCCGUGCCAGCAGCCGCGGUAAUUC
rnacentral:rRNA from 1 species